UAGGGAAUCUUCGGCAAUUGACGAAAGUCUGACCGAGCAACGCCGCGUGAGUGAAGAAGGUUUUCGGAUCGUAAAACUCUGUUGUUAGAGAAGAACAAGGACGUUAGUAACUGAACGUCCCCUGACGGUAUCUAACCAGAAAGCCACGGCUAACUACGUGCCAGCAGCCGCGGUCAUACGUAGGUGGCAAGCGUUGUCCGGAUUUAUUGGGCGUAAAGCGAGCGCAGGCGGUUUCUUAAGUCUGAUGUGAAAGCCCCCGGCUCAACCGGGGAGGGUCAUUGGAAACUGGGAGACUUGAGUGCAGAAGAGGGGAGUGGAAUUCCAUGUGUAGCGGUGAAAUGCGUUGAUAUAUGGAGGAACACCAGUGGCGAAGGCGGCUCUCUGGUCUAUAACUGACGCUGAGGCUCGAAAGCGUGGGGAGCAAACAGG
rnacentral:rRNA from 1 species